GAGGAAGGUGGGAUGACGUCAAGUAUCAUGGCCCUUACGACCAGGGCUACACACGUGCUACAAUGGCGCAUACAAAGAGAAGCGACCUCGCGAGAGCAAGCGGACCUCAUAAAGUGCGUCGUAGUCCGGAUUGGAGUCUGCAACUCGACUCCAUGAAGUCGGAAUCGCUAGUAAUCGUGGAUCAGAAUGCCACGGUGAAUACGUUCCCGGGCCUUGUACACACCGCCCGUCACACCAUGGGAGUGGGUUGCAAAAGAAGUAGGUAGCUUAACCUUCGGGAGGGCGCUUACCACUUUGUGAUUCAUGACUGGGGUGAAGUCGUAACAAGGUAACCGUAGGGGAACCUGCGGUUGGAUCACCUCCUUACCUUAAAGAAGC
rnacentral:rRNA from 1 species